rnacentral:rRNA from 1 species
GAUGAACGCUAGCGGCAGGCUUAACACAUGCAAGUCGAGGGGCAGCAUAAUGGAUAGCAAUAUCUAUGGUGGCGACCGGCGCACGGGUGCGUAACGCGUAUGCAACCUACCUUUAACAGGGGGAUAACACUGAGAAAUUGGUACUAAUACCCCAUAAUAUCAUAGAAGGCAUCUUUUAUGGUUGAAAAUUCCGAUGGUUAGAGAUGGGCAUGCGUUGUAUUAGCUAGUUGGUGGGGUAACGGCUCACCAAGGCGACGAUACAUAGGGGGACUGAGAGGUUAACCCCCCACACUGGUACUGAGACACGGACCAGACUCCUACGGGAGGCAGCAGUGAGGAAUAUUGGUCAAUGGACGCAAGUCUGAACCAGCCAUGCCGCGUGCAGGAUGACGGCUCUAUGAGUUGUAAACUGCUUUUGUACGAGGGUAAACGCAGAUACGUGUAUCUGUCUGAAAGUAUCGUACGAAUAAGGAUCGGCUAACUCCGUGCCAGCAGCCGCGGUAAUACGGAGGAUUCAAGCGUUAUCCGGAUUUAUUGGGUUUAAAGGGUGCGUAGGCGGUUUGAUAAGUUAGAGGUGAAAUUUCGGGGCUCAACCCUGAACGUGCCUCUAAUACUGUUGAGCUAGAGAGUAGUUGCGGUAGGCGGAAUGUAUGGUGUAGCGGUGAAAUGCUUAGAGAUCAUACAGAACACCGAUUGCGAAGGCAGCUUA